GAUGAACGCUGGCGGCGUGCCUAAUACAUGCAAGUCGAGCGAACAGAUAAGGAGCUUGCUCCUUUGAAGUUAGCGGCGGACGGGUGAGUAACACGUGGGUAACCUACCUAUAAGACUGGAAUAACUUCGGGAAACCGGAGCUAAUGCCGGAUAACAUUUGGAACCGCAUGGUUCUAAAGUAAAAGAUGGUUUUGCUAUCACUUAUAGAUGG
rnacentral:rRNA from 1 species